rnacentral:rRNA from 1 species
CCUACGGGAGGCAGCAGUGGGGAAUUUUCCGCAAUGGACGCAAGUCUGACGGAGCGACGCUGCGUGAAGGAUGACGGCCCGCGGGUUGUAAACUUCUUUUCUCGAAGAAGAAACAAAUGACGGUAUUCGAGGAAUAAGCAUCGGCUAACUCCGUGCCAGCAGCCGCGGUAAUACGGAGGAUCCAAGCGUUAUCCGGAUUCAUUGGGUUUAAAGGGUCCGUAGGCGGAUCUUUAAGUCAGUGGUGAAAGCCGACAGCUUAACUGUCGAACUGCCAUUGAUACUGGAGAUCUUGAGUACAAAUGAAGUAGGCGGAAUGAGUCAUGUAGCGGUGAAAUGCAUAGAUAUGACUCAGAACACCGAUUGCGAAGGCAGCUUACUAACAUGUAACUGACGCUGAGGGACGAAAGCGUGGGGAGCGAACAGGAUUAGAUACCCUGGUAGUCCACGCCGUAAACGAUCAUCACUCGCUGUUGGCGAUAUACUGUCAGCGGCCAAGCGAAAGUAUUAAGUGAUGCACCUGGGGAGUACGCCGGCAACGGUGAAACUCAAAGGAAUUGACGA